GACGAACGCCGGCGGCGUGCUUAACACAUGCAAGUCGAACGGUAAGGCCCUUCGGGGUACACGAGUGGCGAACGGGUGAGUAACACGUGGGUGAUCUGCCCUGCACUUCGGGAUAGGCCUGGGAAACUGGGUCUAAUACCGGAUAGGACCACUGCCUGCAUGGGUGGUGGUGGAAAGCUUUUGCGGUGUGGGAUGGGCCCGCGGCCUAUCAGCUUGUUGGUGGGGUGAUGGCCUACCAAGGCGACGACGGGUAGCCGGCCUGAGAGGGUGACCGGCCACACUGGGACUGAGAUACGGCCCAGACUCCUACGGGAGGCAGCAGUGGGGAAUAUUGCACAAUGGGCGCAAGCCUGAUGCAGCGACGCCGCGUGAGGGAUGACGGCCUUCGGGUUGUAAACCUCUUUCAGCACCGACGAAGCGCAAGUGACGGUAGGUGCAGAAGAAGGACCGGCCAACUACGUGCCAGCCGCCGCGGUAA
rnacentral:rRNA from 1 species